CGCCGUGAACCGUGAGGAACUGUCUCCCCUUGCGGAUCCGGAAAAAUAUCACAGAAAAAGAAGGAG
ncrna:Geobacter soli L20-Deltaproteobacteria ribosomal protein leader